rnacentral:rRNA from 1 species
ACUGCUAACACCGCAUAAGCGCACAGGGCCGCAUGGCCCGGUGUGAAAAACUCCGGUGGUAUGGGAUGGGCCCGCGUCUGAUUAGCCAGUUGGCGGGGUAACGGCCCACCAAAGCGACGAUCAGUAGCCGACCUGAGAGGGUGACCGGCCACAUUGGGACUGAGACACGGCCCAAACUCCUACGGGAGGCAGCAGUGGGGAAUAUUGCACAAUGGGGGGAACCCUGAUGCAGCGACGCCGCGUGAGCGAAGAAGUAUCUCGGUAUGUAAAGCUCUAUCAGCAGGGAAGAAAAACGACGGUACCUGACUAAGAAGCCCCGGCUAACUACGUGCCAGCAGCCGCGGUAAUACGUAGGGGGCAAGCGUUAUCCGGAUUUACUGGGUGUAAAGGGAGCGCAGGCGGCGCGGCAAGUCUGAUGUGAAAGCCCGGGGCUCAACCCCGGGACUGCAUUGGAAACUGUCGCGCUCGAGUGUCGGAGGGGUAAGUGGAAUUCCUAGUGUAGCGGUGAAAUGCGUAGAUAUUAGGAGGAACACCAGUGGCGAAGGCGGCUUACUGGACGACAACUGACGCUGAGGCUCGAAAGCGUGGGGAGCAAACAGGAUUAGAUACCCUGGUAGUCCACGCCGUAAACGA